rnacentral:rRNA from 1 species
GGGUGGUAAUGCCGGAUGCUCCGGUUGGAUGCAUGUCCUUCCGGGAAAGGUUCCAUCGGUAUGGGAUGGGGUCGCGUCCUAUCAGCUUGAUGGCGGGGUAACGGCCCACCAUGGCUUCGACGGGUAGCCGGCCUGAGAGGGCGACCGGCCACAUUGGGACUGAGAUACGGCCCAGACUCCUACGGGAGGCAGCAGUGGGGAAUAUUGCACAAUGGGCGCAAGCCUGAUGCAGCGACGCCGCGUGCGGGAUGGAGGCCUUCGGGUUGUAAACCGCUUUUGAUCGGGAGCAAGCCCUUCGGGGUGAGUGUACCUUUCGAAUAAGCACCGGCUAACUACGUGCCAGCAGCCGCGGUAAUACGUAGGGUGCAAGCGUUAUCCGGAAUUAUUGGGCGUAAAGGGCUCGUAGGCGGUUCGUCGCGUCCGGUGUGAAAGCCCAUCGCUUAACGGUGGGUCUGCGCCGGGUACGGGCGGGCUGGAGUGCGGUAGGGGAGACUGGAAUUCCCGGUGUAACGGUGGAAUGUGUAGAUAUCGGAAAA